GAUGAAGAACGCAGCGAAAUGCGAUACUUGGUGUGAAUUGCAGAAUCCCGUGAACCAUCGAGUCUUUGAACGCAAGUUGCGCCCGAAGCCAUCAGGUUGAGGGCACGUCUGCCUGGGCGUCACAUAUCGUUGCCCAAUGCCUAUUGCAGUGCAAUAGGAAUUUCUAGGGCGAAUGAUGGCUUCCCGUGAGCGUUGUUGCCUCGCGGUUGGUUGAAAAUCGAGUCCUUGGUAGGGUGUGCCAUGGUAGACGGUGGUCGAGUUAGAACGAUACCGAUCAUGUGCAUGCUCCCCAAAAUAUGGCCUCUAUGACCCAUACGCGUCUUUUGACGCUCAUGACGAGACCUCAGGUCAGGCGGGGCUACCCGCUGAAUUUAAGCAUAUCAAUAAGCGGAGGA
rnacentral:misc_RNA from 1 species